rnacentral:rRNA from 1 species
AUGAACGCUAGCUACAGGCUUAACACAUGCAAGUCGAGGGGCAGCAUGGUCUUAGCUUGCUAAGGCCGAUGGCGACCGGCGCACGGGUGAGUAACACGUAUCCAACCUGCCGUCUACUCUUGGACAGCCUUCUGAAAGGAAGAUUAAUACAAGAUGGCAUCAUGAGUCCGCAUGUUCACAUGAUUAAAGGUAUUCCGGUAGACGAUGGGGAUGCGUUCCAUUAGAUAGUAGGCGGGGUAACGGCCCACCUAGUCUUCGAUGGAUAGGGGUUCUGAGAGGAAGGUCCCCCACAUUGGAACUGAGACACGGUCCAAACUCCUACGGGAGGCAGCAGUGAGGAAUAUUGGUCAAUGGGCGAGAGCCUGAACCAGCCAAGUAGCGUGAAGGAUGACUGCCCUAUGGGUUGUAAACUUCUUUUAUAAAGGAAUAAAGUCGGGUAUGGAUACCCGUUUGCAUGUACUUUAUGAAUAAGGAUCGGCUAACUCCGUGCCAGCAGCCGCGGUAAUACGGAGGAUCCGAGCGUUAUCCGGAUUUAUUGGGUUUAAAGGGAGCGUAGAUGGAUGUUUAAGUCAGUUGUGAAAGUUUGCGGCUCAACCGUAAAAUUGCAGUUGAUACUGGAUAUCUUGAGUGCAGUUGAGGCAGGCGGAAUUCGUGGUGUAGCGGUGAAAUGCUUAGAUAUCACGAAGAACUCCGAUUGCGAAGGCAGCCUGCUAAGCUGCAACUGACAUUGAGGCUCGAAAGUGUGGGUAUCAAACAGGAUUAGAUACCCUGGUAGUCCACGCCGUAAACGAUGAGUGCUAGGUGUUGGAUCCUUUCCGGGAUUCAGUGCCGCAGCUAACGCAUUAAGCACUCCGCCUGGGGAGUACGACCGCAAGGUUGAAACUCAAAGGAAUUGACGGGGGCCCGCACAAGCAGUGGAGUAUGUGGUUUAAUUCGACGCAACGCGAAGAACCUUACCAAAUCUUGACAUCCCUCUGACCGGUCUUUAAUCGGACCUUCUCUUCGGAGCAGAGGUGACAGGUGGUGCAUGGUUGUCGUCAGCUCGUGCCGUGAGGUGUCGGCUUAAGUGCCAUAACGAGCGCAACCCUUGUUGUCAGUUACUAACAGGUUCCGCUGAGGACUCUGACAAGACUGCCAUCGUAAGAUGUGAGGAAGGUGGGGAUGACGUCAAAUCAGCACGGCCCUUACGUCCGGGGCUACACACGUGUUACAAUGGGGGGUACAGAGGGCCGCUACCACGCGAGUGGAUGCCAAUCCCAAAAACCUCUCUCAGUUCGGACUGGAGUCUGCAACCCGACUCCACGAAGCUGGAUUCGCUAGUAAUCGCGCAUCAGCCACGGCGCGGUGAAUACGUUCCCGGGCCUUGUACACACCGCCCGUCAAGCCAUGGGAGCCGGGGGUACCUGAAGUGCGUAACCGCGAGGAGCGCCCUAGGGUAAAACUGGUGACUGGGGCU